AUGGUUCUUAGGGAGAGAUCCUAGGCACCUACUACUGUUGCCAUCAGUUUUCUUUGGAUUUCUGAUUACUUGCAGCUUCCAUCAGGAAGAGCCUCAGCAGAAGACAGGGAAUGUGUAAAUCGGGUGUCUUUAAGAUUCAUUUCAUGUUAUGAAACUCAAGUUUAUGAGCAGUUCCAAGGAGUUGCCAUUGGCAUUUUGCACAGAAUAUUGUGUCAUGGGCACUUCCUGAAGGAACCUCAGGGUAACAUGACUCCAAAUAACUUGAUAGAAAGAGCAGAGGACGCCAAGUUUCCCUCUUUUAAACUUGCAGCCCUUGCCUCUAAGUUCCACCUGGCUCAUGUGGCUUCACUUUCCCUUGACCUCAUGGUGAGAAGCUCUGUGCCCACUCUUCAGGUUUCAUCUGGCAUCGGGAGCAUGCAGCAGCAAGGGCACAACGUCAAAUGGAACCAGACCUGAGGUUACAAAUUAGAAGAACCUGGAUGGCCAUGUCUGUGCACACUGGUUUUGGAAUUAUGCAGAACUGGGUCUGACCCUAUAUCUGUUAUAUUAUUCACUUAUUUUCCAACUUGUUAUUGAGCAUCUACUAUGUGCCAAGCACUUCUCUAGGCUCUGAAUAGAUAAUGCUGGUGGAGUGUACAUUUUAAUGGCAAUAUUACAGAUCAUCAAUUACAGGAAACAGAUUCUGAGGCAGAUACAUACAUAUAGGAAGUUGAUUGAAAAGGGCUCUUGGAUUUAACUGUUGUUGGGGGAAGGAGGGAAUAAAAGACUGAACUUGCAAUACAACAUCAAUAAAGGCUGCAGCUUAUCCCAUGGGGAGCUCUGAAGCUGGUCCCCCAUAGGGAUGUGUGAGACCCCACAGGUGCACAAGCCAGUCAUUGACUGCAAGCUUUCUUAGAGUGGGUGUGAUUUCACCAGCCAAAGAGUCAUGAACUCCAAGCAGGUGAUGAAAUAAUAAGAAUGUCACUUACUAGCCAAGUGACCCUUCCAUUCCCUGUUCCAAGAGAAGGGGAAGAAAAAUAUGCCCAAUGAAACAACUGUGAUUGAGAGCUUACUUGAUGAUACCUUCUUUUAGAUCCAUUUUCAAUUAAUCCUUACAAGACUAUAAGGUCAGGAAGGAUAUUUCUACCUGGUCCUCAGUGAGAACUCUCUGCCCCUCAAAUCCCAUUUUUCCAAAUCCACAUUGGUGUCUUUGCUGCAAGAGGAGAAUCAAAUGCAAUUUCUAGGGCACCGAUUGAUAACUCUUAACCUCCAGUCUUGGGGCAAAUCUUCAAACACUUACUUACCAUCAUGAAAAGAAUAUGGGGAGCUUACCGGAAUCUUUGAUAGUUGAGAUUCUUGUGCAUCUUAUAAUUAUCUAUCACAUCACACUAAUUACAGAGCAAACAAAACAGCCACCUUAGAAGACUGGGAACAUGCAAGCAGCUCUCUUUAAUGUUUUUAAAUCUCUUUGAAAAUAUGAGUAAACUGAGGUUUAGAGGGAUUAAGUGAUUCACCCAAGCUUAUGCAACUCCACAGUGACGGAAAAAGGUUCUGAAAGCAGAUCUAAAAGAGGCUCAAGAGCUCCUAAAUCAUGUGGUUUUAUUACAUUCACCACCUCCUGUGGCCACCAGAAGCAGAAGGAGCCUAAAUAGAGGCUUCCUCAUCCAGCCUGCAAAGAGGAGUCAGGGACGGAUUAGAGGAGGAAUUGACCCCUCCUGGCCAUGUGCUUAAUAAAUAAGGAAACCGAGAUAGAACUUGCUCCAUGUGUAUAAAAGAGAUUUCAAAUGCAUAUUUUUAUUGUGAGAUUUUUGAAGACUUUUUAAUCACUUUCACACUUACCACAUGAUUUUUUUUUCUGUUCCCUGGUUAAAAAUCCCUAGAAUAUAUUUGAGGAGCUCUGGGAGUGCUUCGUGGGCAGAGGAUGGAUGAACCUGGGGGGCAGUCUUAAGCUGCAGUGGCAAGUGGCUGUAUUCAACCCUGGAUCUGGGAGGGUGAAAGGUAACUGUUCUCACCGCCCCUCAUUUUCUGUAACAAGGGCAUUGACAAAGCCUGGUGUCCUAGUCUCACAGGGCUCUUGUGAGGAAGAAGUGAGAAAAAAGAUGAAAAUAAUGUUCCAGAGAAAAAGUCUAAGUCACCACCGACCCCCAAGAUGACGGAUUUCUUCACCUCUGUGAUUCAUCAGAGGCAUCUGGCCAUUUCUGAGAAGAAUAUAACCAUGUUCCCUUUCUGGUGAAUUUGGAAAUAGUUGCCUCCAAGAAGAAUCACUAGGAAUUACUUUUUUUAUUGGAUGAAAAAUAAAUCUAACCUAAGUUUCUUAGAAGCCCCCAAAGAUCCUUGAAUAUAAGCAUUACCUAAUUAGCCAUAUUUAGGAAAGAAAAUUCACAUUGUUAGUUCAGUCUAAAUAAAUUUUAUUGGGUUUUCUCAUUGUAAAGGUAACAAGGGCUUCUGAGAGUGAAUCAAGAGAUCUAGAGAAGGAGGAAGGAAAAAAUUUCACAUAAUCCCACCUUUGAGAAAUAACAACUAAUAAUAUCAUACUGUGUUUCUUUCUGGUUUCUUAUUUCAAGAAGUGGUUUUUCACUUACAAAAGCACACUUUAUAUCUUGCUUUUUACACUUCUCUGCUUUAUUAUAAACUCUCAAUAAUAUCAUCUCAUUAACUGUAGCACUCAUCUUUGUAAGAUUGUUGUGAAGAUGAAAUGAGAGAGGGGAUCCAUCCUUAAUGAUUCUUAAUGAGGGCUCAAUAAAUGUUGGCGGCUGCUAUCAUCAACAACAA